GAUGAAGAACGUAGCGAAAUGCGAUAAGUAAUGUGAAUUGCAGAAUUCAGUGAAUCAUCGAGUCUUUGAACGCACAUUGCGCCCCCUGGUAUUCCGGGGGGCAUGCCUGUCCGAGCGUCAUUGCUGCUCUCAAGCACGGCUUGUGUGUUGGGCCUCCGUCCUCCUCCCGGGGGACGGGCCCGAAAGGCAGCGGCGGCACCGCGUCCGGUCCUCGAGCGUAUGGGGCUUCGUCACCCGCUCUUGUAGGCCCGGCCGGCGCUUGCCGACACAUCAAUCUUUUUUCCAGGUUGACCUCGGAUCAGGUAGGGAUACCCGCUGAACUUAAGCAUAUCAAUAAGCGGAGGA
rnacentral:misc_RNA from 1 species